AGAACAAGCUGACCUACUGCAGGAGGUAAAAUACCUCACUGACCCCAAGACAGGGACCUCUCUAAUCUACGAUAACCCAGACAUCUCUCUCUCGCUCACACUCUCAAUACUGCCUUGUUUUCUAUGCUAUGAUUUACAGAAUGUAGACUUUCAGAUCCAUCUCUUCCCAGGUACAGUCCAUUAACCCUGCAGGAUCCAGACCACAUAGCCUUUAGCAUCAGACCCAGGAUACAUAGCCUUUAGCAUCAGACCCAGGGUACAUGGCCUUUAGCAUCAGACCCAGGGUACAUGGCCUUUAGCAUCAGACCCAGGGUACAUGGCCUUUAGCAUCAGACCCAGGGUACAUGGCCUUUAGCAUCAGACCCAGGGUACAUGGCCUUCAUAUUUACUGGAUUGGUUCAACAGUGCAGAAGAGAACCUCCCCUGACAGUUUGUUUUCUCUCUGCUCAGCUGACCACUGAGAAACCUCUCUGAUUGGCAGGUUGUGUGUUUGUAGAUCCAGAAUGAGGACUGGGGAGGUUUACCUAAUGAGGAGAUCUUAUAGCGGACUGGAGUACUUCCCCUUUACACCAGGUCCUGCUGGCCCCGUCAUGAGUACUUUAAUGUGCCUGUGUACUAAACGUCCACUACUGCUGUCACCACUCCACUGCUGUCCUGUCCACUCUGCAUGCGGAGCCCCUCCCCCCAGCACAUGGUCCCUCCAGCACCUGGCUCCUCAUCCUCAGCCCCCUAAAGCGCCAUGCUUUACCAACUGAUCCACACAGGACUACGGCUACAUCGUCAGAGGUCAUUGGUCUACAUUUUCAGUUUCUCACAUACUUCCAUCAGCUGAUUCCACUGUUUGUUGUCUAUCUGAAGAGGCCAUGGUUUACUGUGUAUAAUACAACGGGUGGGUCUAAUCCUGAAUGCUGAUUGUUUAAAUCUGCAUUCCAGCCGGUCUAUUCCACAAGUGACUACCGGCAAAAUCUAUGCCUUUAAAAUGCCUAUUUACUCUGUUCCAUCUGACUGCGCAUUCCACUGUCUCAUCAGCCCAGCUCAUAUUUCUUUUAGACUAACAUUUAGUUUUAACAGUGGAGAUUUGUAUAACAGUGGAGAUUUGCUGUCUGUCUCUCAGACAUUUGCAACAUUGUUUCAAUAUUCAAAUUCAAUCUCCAGCUGUCCCAUAGUAAUGAACAGGCAGCUUUUCUCAGCCAGUCAAAAUCAUGAUUCAGCAUAAUUUUUAUGGAUACAGUUGAAGUCUGAAGUUUACAUACAGUUAGGUUGGAGUCAUUAAAACUUGUUUUUCAACCACUCCACAAAUUUGUUUUUAACAAACUAUAGUUUUGGCAAGUCGGUUAGGACAUCUACUUUGUGCAUGACACAAGUAAUUUUUCCAACAAUUGUUUACAGACAGAUUAAUUCACUGUAUCACAAUUCCAGCGGGUCAGAAGUUUACAUACACUAAGUUGACUGUGCCUUUAAACAGCUUGGAAAAUUGCCGAAAAUGAUGCCAUGGCUUUAGAAGCUUCUGAUAGGCUAAUUGACAUAAUUUGAGUCAAUUGGAAGUGUACCUGUGGAUGUAUUUCAAGGCCUACCUUCAAACUCAGUGCCUCUUUGCUUGACAUCAUGGGGAAAAUCUAAAGAAAUCAGCCAAGACCUUAGAAAGUAAUCCUUGGGAGCACUUUCCCAACACCUGAAGCUACCACGUUCAUCUGUACAAACAAUAGUAUGCAAGUAUAAACACCAUGGGACCACGCAGCCGCCAUACCGCUCAGGAAGGAGACACGUUCUGUCUCCUAGAGACGAACGUACUUUGGUGCGAAAAGUGCAAAUCAAUCCCAGAACAA
rnacentral:lncRNA from 13 species